rnacentral:rRNA from 1 species
UGUGACUGCACAAUGGGGGAAACCCUGAUGCAGCGACGCCGCGUGAGCGAUGAAGCCCUUCGGGGUGUAAAGCUCUUUCGGCAGGGAAGAUCAUGACGGUACCUGCAUAAGCAGCUGCGGCUAACUACGUGCCAGCAGCCGCGGUAAUACGUAGGCAGCGAGCGUUGUUCGGAGUUACUGGGCGUAAAGGGUGUGUAGGCGGCUUUCUAAGUUUGGUGUGAAAUCUCCSGGCUCAACUGGGAGGGUGCGCSSAAUACUGAAAGGCUAGAGUGCGGGAGAGGAWAGUGGAAUUCCUGGUGUAGCGGUGAAAUGCGUAGAUAUCAGGAGGAACACCGGUGGUGUAGACGGCUCUCUGGACCGUAACUGACGCUGAGACACGAAAGCGUGGGUAGCAAACAGGAUUAGAUACCCUGGUAGUCCACGCCCUAAACGAUGCAUAYUUGGUGUGGGUCAUUCAGUUGAUCCGUGCCGGAGCUAACGCGUUAAAUAUGCCGCCUGGGGAU